rnacentral:lncRNA from 1 species
CAACCUCCCAGACAACUAGAACUCUAAGCCCGCAUUUGAGAAAGGAUGGGCAGGUUCAGCUUCCAGGCCGCUGCUGCUCACACCCCUCGGAGAGUGACUUCCAGCUUCACACAAUCCCUCCCCUGCUCUCUCUUCCUCGUGUUUCUAGCCAUGGAGAGGUUUGAAGAGGUUACCCCAGGAAAGGCCUCGCUCCUUAGGCAAGACUGGGGCCCCAAACAAACCUGGACGAGAGAAGGAAAAUCCUAGGAAAAGGGGACUGGAGACAGUCGCCCACUAGGACAAACAUCUAUUCCUUUCCCCCUCUUCCUGGGCUAGUUAAUAUAAGAAACCAUUAGAAAUUGUACUUCGCUCCUCAGAAAGAGUUGACAUCUCUCACUGCUCUCUUGCCUCCAUUGUCCUUUCUCCUGGACAGAACUCAGGUCCCCUUUCACUCCCUUCUUGCAUACCCCUGGCACUUGCUCGUUUUGAGGAGCAGGGAACUCUCGGUUCUCCAUUCAGGACUUUCUGGAAGCCCACCUCCAUAUGCUCACCAGCCCACCCUCCUACGCUGGUCAGAGUGAGAUUGCUAACCUCAAGACCCCAUUCAAUGCCAGCUUUCAACUACUGCUGAAGACCAAUGUAGGUCCCAGGAUAGAAGAACCGCAGAGUAUCCGGAGCUGGCCGACCCCAGACUGAUUCUCAACAGGUGGCUGGGUAGUGACCCCCAUUCUGUGUUGGUAGUACGGGACCCAUCGCACACAGAGAAGCUACCUUCUCACACCUCACCCCGUUGGCCCAAAGACUGACCACCCGCGCCCGAGUCGGGGGGUGGGAAUCCCGGAUGACACACACACACACACACACACACACACACACACACACACACACACCAGGGUAGGAGAACAGGGAGGACCUUACCUGCAGAAAGGUAAGAGAAACCGGGAGCGUGUAGCAGCGGCGGAUAAAUAUUCAUUAGGAAGUGUAAGUCCUUUCAAAGGGCUCCGCGCGCGCGCGCUCUAGCUCCUGUCUCUCUUUCUCUCCCUCCCUCUGUCCUCCAGGAAGGCUUCUCCUCCUCUAGCUCUCUCAACGCCCCCCCACCUCCUGCGACAUACCGGGUGGAUCCUAGGCUAGCUAACCUGUUGGGAAGCCUGAACUGCGGCAGCGCCUCUGCAGCUAGCAGUUUGCUUUCGCUCCUGGGGCGCGCGUCCCCCCCCCCAGUCCCCUCCCCUCCUUCCUUUCGCCCAGCCCCUCACCCCUCCUAAAUUACUACAUCAUUAGCUUUAUUGGGCGGGGAGGGGGUAACGGAGCAGCCAGACGCACCUCUCCAUAGAAGGGUGAAUAGUUGGUGCCCUGCGAUGCAACCCCAACUCCAUCUCCACCUCAUUCUCACCCAUCUGCACAUCCUCACCCAAUCUUGCUUCUUUUUCUUC